GAUGAACGCUGGCGGCGUGCCUAACACAUGCAAGUCGAACGAACGGACGAGAAGCUUGCUUCUAUGAUGUGAGCGGCGGACGGGUGAGAAACACGUGGACAACCCCUCUAUAAGAGUGGGACAACGUCGAGAAAGGGUAACUACUACCAGAUAAUAUCUUGAACCGGAUGGUUCCAAAGAGAAAGAGGGUCUUGGGGUUACUCAUAGAUGGAUCCGCGCUGUAUUAGCUAGUUGGUAGGGUAACGGCCUACCAAGGCAACGAUGGGUAGCCGACCUGAGAGGGGGAUCGGCCACACUGGAACUGGGACACGGUCCAGACUCCUACGAGAGGCAGCAGUAGGGAAUCUUCGGCAAUGGGCGAAAGCCUGACACAGCAACGCCGCGUGUGUGAUGAAGGUCUUCGGGUCGUAAAGCACUGUUAUUGGGGAAGAACCUCUGUGUGAGUAAAUGUGCAGAUCUUGACGGUACCUGAAGAAGAAGCCACGGCUAACUACGUG
rnacentral:rRNA from 1 species